CCUACGGGGUGCUGCAGUGGGGAAUAUUGGACAAUGGGCGAAAGCCUGAUCCAGCCAUGCCGCGUGUGUGAAGAAGGCCUUCGGGUUGUAAAGCACUUUCAGUGGGGAAGAAAGCCUUGGGGCUAAUACCCUCGAGGAAGGACAUCACCCACAGAAGAAGCACCGGCUCAACUCCGUGCCAGCAGCCGCGGUAAUACGGAGGGUGCGAGCGUUAAUCGGAAUUACUGGGCGUAAAGCGCGCGUAGGCGGUCUGAUAAGCCGGUUGUGAAAGCCCCGGGCUCAACCUGGGAACGGCAUCCGGAACUGUCAGGCUAGAGUGCAGGAGAGGAAGGUAGAAUUCCCGGUGUAGCGGUGAAAUGCGUAGAGAUCGGGAGGAAUACCAGUGGCGAAGGCGGCCUUCUGGACUGACACUGACGCUGAGGUGCGAAAGCGUGGGUAGCAAACAGGAUUAGAUACCCUAGUAGUC
rnacentral:rRNA from 1 species